GAUGAACGCUAGCGGCAGGCCUAACACAUGCAAGUCGAGGGGCAGCACAUAAAGUGGUUUACUACUUCUGGUGGCGACCGGCGGACGGGUGCGUAACGCGUAUGCAACCUGCCUCCAACAGGGGGAUAACGGAGAGAACUUUCCACUAAUACCCCAUAAUAUCAGAAUCGGCAUUGGUUUUGGUUUAAAACUCCGGUGGUUGGAGAUGGGCAUGCGUUGUAUUAGAUAGUUGGUGAGGUAACGGCUCACCAAGUCAACGAUACAUAGGGGGACUGAGAGGUUAGCCCCCCACACUGGUACUGAGACACGGACCAGACUCCUACGGGAGGCAGCAGUGAGGAAUAUUGGUCAAUGGGGCAACCCUGAACCAGCCAUGCCGCGUGCAGGAAGACGGCUCUAUGAGUUGUAAACUGCUUUUACAAGGGGAUAAAUCGGUGUACGUGUACACCGUUGAAGGUACCUUGGGAAUAAGGAUCGGCUAACUCCGUGCCAGCAGCCGCCGUAA
rnacentral:rRNA from 1 species